rnacentral:lncRNA from 1 species
GUGUGUGUGUGAUUAAAACACUUACAAAAAAAAUGCCCAGUGAUUUAGAAGUGGGUGUGCGUGACCGUGAGAACAAGACCAAGGGGGAAACCCUAUUUCUUCAAAAUCUUGCAAAUUAAAGGAGAAAAGGGCUAAAUUUUGAAUGCAUGAACUAAGAAUGAUGAUCAUCUAAGCAUACCCAACAUCAAUAUGAAUGUAUGUUGGAACGUGUCAAGGAGAGGUCAAGCAUAGGAGGAUAACGGGUCAAGAUAAGGCAAGGUGACAAAUACACUUAUUGGAGUACUCGAGGUAUGGGAUCGUUGGCUUCAUGAAGAAAUGGAGCUGGAUUUGGAUAAGAGUAUUUAAGAAAGCGCUUGGACAAUUCCACGACUACUUUAUAGAAUGCUCUACGAAAUUUUAUUAUAUAGUUUAAUGUUGAAUGGUAUGUUAAUGACUAAUGGUUUGGUUGUACGUGGUGUCCACAGGUAUCGCUUGGGUUUUCUCUACAUUUAUUGAAGUGAAGCGGACUUAGUUCGAGUUGAGAGCAAGGAUUGUACGGGGUAGAAUGGUCACAUAGUGUAACUCAUAUAGGUUUUGAAGUAUUAAUGUUAUAAAACGUUAUAAAUCCGUUUUAAUGAAUAUAUGGCAUUUCGCAUUUGAACCUUCAUGUGUUUGAUAUGUCUAUUAAAGAACGAAAUUUUUGGGCUCUUGUUUUCCGCUGCGUCGUAUUUUAAGUUAUUACGCGUUAGUCUUACAGGGAAUUGUUCUUAUUACGAACGGGUCAUGCCCGAAUUUUGUUAAAUAAUAGUAUGAUAAUAUUACAUUUUGGAAUGUGUAAUUUGGGUGUAACAAGUUGGUAUCAGAGCCCUGGUUUGAGAGAAUUAAGUACGAGAGUAUAAGUACUUGAACUCAAACCUGUGUGCUCUUGUGAUAAGGAACCCGUACAAUCCAUGACUCGAUCAAGAUCUAAAGGUAGAAAUGGAAUGAAAAUGUGUAAGUAUGUAUUAGAUUAUGUAUUUGAAAGAAACUAAUAGUGUGUUAUGUGCAAGGUAAGCUUAAGAGCUUGAAGAGGAUGAUCCGUGAAUACAGAAUAGGAUGAACGCUAAGGCGGGCAAAGGUGCAAAUAGGCAAAUUAACCCCAGGUACACAUUACUAAUAUGUAUGAGUACCGAUGUCAAAAGAAAAAGGAAGGGGUCUCCUUGGGAGGGAAAUUAUUAAACGAAAGACAAUGAUGUGGUCUUGGGGAAGUUUUAGAAAUGUGCACGAAACUGAAACCCAUUUCUCGGGCAUAAGGCGAUGAUUACACGAAGGCACGAAACUAGUGUGUGAAUUGCGCACCUGGCCAGUACGCAAGAAGCAUAUGAUGUUCGUGAGACCGUGGCAAUUAUUGCAGGUAUGUCCGGUAGAACUGGGUAGCAGGUGGGCGCUAUGUUGUAGCGAAUGCGAAAUAGCAAAUCCAUUGCGGAUUUGGUUAUGCUAACGAAGGUUAUGAAAAGUUAGGCGAGUCGACCGGUUCUAGCGAACAAGUCGAAUAAGAAUAAGCUACCAUCCGUUUUGAACGGGUGAUUUUGAAUGCUCUAAUGAAUGCUAGAAGCUUAAUCCGUUAUACGGAUUGAAAGAAGAAGUUAUGAUUAAAUGCGAAAAACCCAAUUAUUUGGGUAGUGGAAAAUGUGUAUGCUUAACUCUCGUUGAGAGUGUUUAUGCCAAACCCAAUUAUUUGGGUAGUGGAAUGUGUAUGCUUAACUCUCGUUGAGAGUGUUUAUGCCAAACCCAAUUAUUUGGGUAGUGGAAUUUGUAUGCUUAACUCUCGUUGAGAGUGUUUAUGCCAAACUCAAUUAUUUGGGUAGUGGAAUGUGUAUGCUUAACUCUCCUUGAGAGUGUUUAUGCCGAAACCCAAUUAUUUGGGUAGUCGAAUGUGUAUGCUUAACUCUCUUUGAGAGUGUUUAUGCCAAACCCAAUUACUUGGGUAGUCGAAUGU